rnacentral:lncRNA from 1 species
GUCUGAGAUAAUAUUUAAGAUGAAGACUGAUUCCUUCUCCUGUUUCCUUCCUACAGACCAAAAGGAGACCGUUUCAAAGUGUACAGCCUUUAAUCUGGAGACAAAUGCAUGUCCAGUUUGUAGCUCUCAUCUCUUCUACAAUGACUACUGCUGCUGCUUGCAGACAUCCUCACCACAGCUGAGAAACCUCUCAGAAAGCACACUUCGGAAGGGUCCUGAGGAAGGAUAUGACAAGUUUCUGCAAGAUGUGACAUCUGAUAGACAGCCUGCUUCCAGUGACCCAGGGCCCCUGUCAGGUACAGUGACGGGUUCAGUUUUAUUGAGGAAGAAGGGAAGUCAAGUGAAGUUACCACAUUCCUGUGGCAUGAAGAAGCAGCAUGACGUUCAGAAACAAUGCCUGUAGUACUUAGUGGCCUUAAAAGAAGUGGUUAAAAGCAGGAAGGGGAACCAUUAAUUGAUACAUACAGCAGACAGGCUGUGAAGGCGACUGACACGCGGUAGGCGAGAUUUUUCAUUAGCUUCUGCCCUUCCACUGAGAUUUGCCUAGAUGUUGCAUUGCAUGCUCACCGUUCCUGCAAAAAUCCCAUUUGCUGAAAUAAGUGGGGAGAUCAUUGUCCUUCCCAUAAAUUUCCAGUCAAUCCAUAUUGU